rnacentral:rRNA from 1 species
AGCGAACGCUGGCGGCAGGCCUAACACAUGCAAGUCGAACGAAGUCUUCGGACUUAGUGGCGGACGGGUGAGUAACACGUGGGAACGUGCCUUUAGGUUCGGAAUAACUCAGGGAAACUUGCGCUAAUACCGAAUGUGCCCUUCGGGGGAAAGAUUUAUCGCCUUUAGAGCGGCCCGCGUCUGAUUAGCUAGUUGGUGAGGUAAAGGCUCACCAAGGAGACGAUCAGUAGCUGGUCUGAGAGGAUGAUCAGCCACAUUAGGACUGAGACGCGGCCCAAACGCCUACGGGAGGCAGCAGUGGGGAAUCUUGCGCAAUGGGCGAAAGCCUGACGCAGCCAUGCCGCGUGAAUGAUGAAGGUCUUAGGAUUGUAAAAUUCUUUCACCGGGGACGAUAAUGACGGUACCCGGAGAAGAAGCCCCGGCUAACUUCGUGCCAGCAGCCGCGGUAAAAC